CUUUUCACGCUAUUAACUUUUCUAGGUAGAUACUUAAUAGUUAUUACUAUUUUAGUAACUGCAGACUACCCCUAGAAGAUUCAGUAUCACUUCUUUUACAGUUUUUCUGUUGUUGGCCUCUUUAGAAGAUUUCCAAAGUUUCUCUAUUGUAACUAACAUUACAAUGAAUAUAUAUUAGCGUAAUGCAUUUUCACUCAAAUUUCUUACUGUUUCCCCAAAGUUAUCUAGAAAUUGGAAUAUGGGGUUAAUGAGUAUGUUUAUGGCCCCGUGAAUCCUGCCCAAAUGCUUUCCAAAGGGUUGAACCAAUCUACACUCUUACGUAGAGUGGGUGUGAGUGUCCUUUCAUCACGCCCUUUCCAGCACAGGCUAUCAUCUUUUUAAAAAUGCUGGUUGUUUUUUUCAGGUUAACUGUGCUUUCAUUUACAGUGAGAGGAACCCUUUUCCCCCCUUGAGUUUGAUUGCUAGUUUUUUCUGGUUUUGUUUUUUUAAGCAAGCCUUUUGAAGUGAGGGGGAUUUGAAUGAAGAAAGAUGGCUUAGUGAAUAAAAACUGGGAGGUUGUCCCACUAACGAUGUUAAAGGAGAAACGGCAGAGGAAGAAGUGAAUGAAAGUUCUCCAUGGACAGGAAAGGGCAGGGGGAAUAGGGAAUGAGUUUGGGAGGGGCUACGUGGUGGAACCAAGCCCCUUGAUGUGGUCCAGCCGCAGGUGUGAGAAAGAUGUACUUAGAAGCAGCGGUUUGGACCAAUUGAAAGCAAAAGAGGCUGGACUCCAGACAUGAAAUCAGCAUCAGGAUUUGGCGAAGAGAUGAAAGAGAAGUGAAUUUUGGAUUAAAGAAAUGACAGAGUCUAUCAGUUGCAGGUCCUUCUAGUUGUGGCAUGUGGGACGCUGCGUCAACGUGGCCCGAGGAGCGGUGCCAUGUCUGCACCCAGGAUCCGAACCGGUGAAACCCUGGGCCAAUGCAGCGGAGCACGCGAACUUAACCACUCGGCCAUGGGGCCGGGCCCCUCAACAGGACUGCUCUGGUGGAAGUCUUCAGCCUCUAUGGGAACAGAACAACCCAUGCUCCAUUCUGCUCAGGCUCCAGCUACACCAUAGGUUCAGCUACAGGCGUGACAGCCUAAGAGGACCACUGAUCCACUGGAGCAUAGAGCUGGGAUGAAGGAG
rnacentral:lncRNA from 1 species